rnacentral:rRNA from 1 species
GACCUGAUGCAGCCAUGCCGCGUGUGUGAAGAAGGCCUUCGGGUUGUAAAGCACUUUCAGUUGUGAGGAAAAGUUAGUAGUUAAUACCUGCUAGCCGUGACGUUAACAACAGAAGAAGCACCGGCUAACUCCGUGCCAGCAGCCGCGGUAAUACGGAGGGUGCGAGCGUUAAUCGGAAUUACUGGGCGUAAAGCGCACGCAGGCGGUUUGUUAAGCUAGAUGUGAAAGCCCCGGGCUCAACCUGGGAUGGUCAUUUAGAACUGGCAGACUAGAGUCUUGGAGAGGGGAGUGGAAUUCCAGGUGUAGCGGUGAAAUGCGUAGAUAUCUGGAGGAACAUCAGUGGCGAAGGCGACUCCCUGGCCAAAGACUGACGCUCAUGUGCGAAAGUGUGGGUAGCGAACAGGAUUAGAUACCCUGGUAGUCCACACCGUAAACGCUGUCUACUAGCUGUUUGUGACUUUAAGUCGUGAGUAGCGAAGCUAACGCGCUAAGUAGACCGCCUGGGGAGUACGGCCGCAAGGUUAAAACUCAA